rnacentral:lncRNA from 1 species
AUGUUUUUGUACUUUGUUUUUUUAGCUGCUGCCACAUGGCAGGCGGGAUCCUUAAUUCCCAGACCCGUGACCCUUGCUGUGGAAGCAGAGAGUCUUAACUGCUGGAUGGCCAAGGAAGUCCCGAAAAGGUGUACAAGGAAGACUGAGGUGAAUCUGCAGCUCCACAGCGACUUAGGCCAUUUUGGACUCACACAUGGAAUCCAAGGGAGGAGAGGAAAGCAGGAUGGUCCGACUGCAGCUGGGCAGGAAGUGUCCAGGGGUGGGGGCGGGGGGCGGGGAGGGCCUGAGAGGCUGGACAGUGAACGUGAGAGGCCCCGGCCUGCAGAGGAAGUAUGUAGAGGAGAAAGCCGCCAGGCUCCCCUUAUUUAUCACAGACACCGGAUGCCUGAAACCCAUCUCUAGCACUCAGCAUCUCCCCUGCCAGACCCUCUAGAUGUAUGGAGACAGCAACCAAGCCAAGCCUAAGCUCAGUGCUCCCCGUGUCAGUCAGUGGCUGAAGUCAGUUCUCUGACAGGCAUGCGAGCCUCUGUUUUCAUGAAGCUGGUGGAUUGUAUAUUUGCCUUCUUCUCCUUUCCCUAUGCUUCUUCCCCCACUGGCAAUUGGGCCACAGAAUUUCUUGGCCUAAAACAGAAAUCUGGGGACUUCCUAGUGGUUGUGACUAAGACUCUGAGCUCCCAAUGCCAGGCACCAGGUUCACCCUGAUUAGGGAACUAGAUCCCACAUGUCAUAGCCAAAAAAAUCCCAUGAGCAGCAGCUAAGACCCGGCACAGCCAACUGAGUAAUUAAUUAUUUAAGAAAUAAGAAAACAUAAAUCUGACCCCAUGGCUUUAUACCCCUCAAAACCUUUCAGGGUUGCCCAAUGCCUACAGCAAUACUUCUCCAAGUCAUCUUCCUUAGAACCUUCAUUCUUUGAUCAAAUAAGUUUAAGAAAUUCUCUAUAGCAUACCCAGGUUAGAGAAUCCAAACACAAAAUGACAAAUUAAGGGCUCCAAGUAGUCUUUUGGUAAAGAGCUGCUUUCAUUUUUUUACCCUGCUUUUUUCUUUUUAGUUGGAAAUGGCUGUCGUUGUUCUAUUUUGUUCUUUUGGUGUGCCGCACACAGCCUAUGGGAUCCCAGUUCUCUGACCAGGGAUAAAAUCUGGGCUCAGUGAAAGCACAGAAUCCCAACCAGUGGACCACCAGGGAAUUCCUUAUUGAUGUAUAGUUGAUGUACAAUAUUAUGUGUUACAAGUGUAUGGUAGAGUAAUUCCCAGUUCCUAAAGGUUAUACUCCAUUUAUACUUAGUAUAAAAGAUUGACUAUAUUCCCUGUGCUAUACAAUAUAUCCUUGUAGCUUAUUUUAUACUCCGUAGUUUGUACCUCUUAAUCCUCUAACCCUAUGUCACUGUCCCCCUUCCCUCUCCCC